rnacentral:rRNA from 1 species
GUUUUGACCGGGUUGUAGCUGGCCUUCCGAGGCAUGUGCACGCCCUGCUCAUCCACUCUACACCUGUGCACUUACUGUGGGCUUCAGAUUGCGAGGCACGCUCUUUACCGGGCUUGCGGAGCAUAUCUGUGCCUGCGUUUAUCACAAACUCUAUAAAGUAACAGAAUGUGUAUUGCGAUGUAACACAUCUAUAUACAACUUUCAGCAACGGAUCUCUUGGCUCUCGCAUCGAUGAAGAACGCAGCGAAAUGCGAUAAGUAAUGUGAAUUGCAGAAUUCAGUGAAUCAUCGAAUCUUUGAACGCACCUUGCGCUCCUUGGUAUUCCGAGGAGCAUGCCUGUUUGAGUGUCAUGAAAUCUUCAACCUACAAGCUUUUGUGGUUUGUAGGCUUGGACUUGGAGGCUUGUCGGCCGUUAUCGGUCGGCUCCUCUUAAAUGCAUUAGCUUGGUUCCUUGCGGAUCGGCUCUCGGUGUGAUAAUGUCUACGCCGCGACCGUGAAGCGUUUGGCGAGCUUCUAACCGUCUUAUAAGACAGCUUUAUGACCUCUGACCUCAAAUCAGGUAGGACUACCCGCUGAACUUAAGCAUAUCAAUAAG